rnacentral:lncRNA from 1 species
GCCCUUGGCAACGCCCGCCGCGCCCUGGCAAUGUCUCGCGGGAGUCGUCCCGGCGCUCGCCGGGUUGACCGUGCUCCUGCAGAGACAGGUUCUACGGAGUGGCCCCAACUCGGAUGCCUCUAGCUCCCUCCCGAUCUCCACACCAACUCAGACCGAGGUCUAUGGGAGGUUUGUUUGAUUUUCUUCACUUGGAUGCAUAGUUUCACUGUACAGCGAGCAGACUGGAUUUCAAUUCCCUGAGAUGCUCCUGCCUCGGCCCCCUGAAAGCGGAACUCACAGAUGAGCGUCACCACGCGGGAACCUAUUUGCUGUUUUGAAGGUGUGACACAGUGAUUUAGUUCCUUACCCCGUUCUGCUGCGACGUCCUCAUUCUAAAUGGGUCAGCAGUCUGAAAAGGACACGGCUGUUGAGGGGCACAGCCCCAACCCCAGCUCAGAUCCCCAAACUAUCCACGAUGACACGAAGGCUUGGAGGACGCUCACUAAUGAUUCUAAUCUCCGGAGGGUGCUAGGGGCUUCACCUGCGGCCGUGGACCAUCUCUUCGGGUAGUGUGCGUGCACUGUAGGAGUUGUGCACUUUGCCCAACCCUUCUCUGCCGCAUUUGAAACUACUUUGGGUGCAUUCUGCUGCUACUUUUUCUGUGAGACUUCUCGCUGCUGUUGAAAAAGUAAAAAAGAAGGAAAGUAGGAGGGAUCAAGUUUUCAUUUCGAGGUUCUGAACGUUCUAUUUGACCCUGUCUUCUCUGGGAAUCGUGAAAAGGUGACUCGUUCUGUAACAUAGGUGACAAGGAAAAGGGGUUUCUUGCAGCCUUCAGAAUGCAGAACUCUAACUAAGCCCAUCCUCCAGCAGCAAGUCGGCCCUGAUUCAGUCUUGCUACUCUCCAUGACAAUAAUGGAUUAAACCUCUGAAAGCGUAAGCCAGACCCAAUGAGAUGUUUUCCUUUAGAAGAGCUGCCGAAUGGAGUCUCUUCAUGGCAAUAAAACCCCUGAGACAAGA